rnacentral:tRNA from 1 species
GCAGGAGUGGCGGAAUGGCAGACGCGCCAGAUUCAGGUUCUGGUGAAUGCAAAUUCAUGUGGGUUCAAGUCCCAUCUCCUGCA